rnacentral:lncRNA from 1 species
UUAUUUGACACCUUUCUUUGUUUCUCUUUUUUUAAUAGGAGAAAAGAAUCAUUUCCAGAAUUCUAAAGGAGAGAAUGGGAUCACAUGAUCAUCCCUAGCCACAGGAAGGCUGGGUACAAAUCCGCCAUUGUCAGCCAUGAUGAUCCAAGAAAUUAGUCAGGAGUGGUGGCAUGUGCCUGUAAUCCCAGCUACUUGGGAGGCUGAGUCAGGAGAAUCACUUUGAACCCGUGCCGCAGAUUGCAGUGAGCCGAGAUCACACCACUGGAAUCCAGCCUGUGUGAGAGAGCAAGACUCUUGUCUCGGAAACAAACAAACAAACAAAAAAAGAGUUUCUGCUAUGUGGUAAGUCUGCAAAAGCGUUAGCUGUUAUUACUUUAUCCAGGAAUUGCAA